CAGAAUGAAUUAAUUCCCAGGGAGCUUCACAAAUCCUUCAUGGAAAGCAAUCUCUGGAGAUCUCAUUUCAACAUUUCAAUGAACAUAACUAGCCUGGUCUGAAUCUCAGCAAUAGAUAUUUCCUAUAUUGAGGCUGAGGUUUCCAUUGCACUAACAGCUGAGAAAAAUUUCUCCCCUACAUAUUCUGUGUAGUGUGUGUGUGUGUGUAUGUGUGUGUGUGUGUGUGUGUGUGUGUGUUUCUUUUAAGUGUAGGGAUUAUUUUACAUUUCUUACAUUGUGAUAAUAUCUAUUCUUGCUUUUCAGCCUAAUUAAAUGCAGCCUCAUGUGCAGAAGGCAAAUAAGUCAGCUGUAAGAAAAGAUGAAAUGAGAAGUUAGCCCAAGAGCACACAAAGGCAUCAGCAAGUGUGAAUAUACUUCCCAGAAUGGCUCCCAUAAAAGUCAAGAAAUGGUCCUCCAGUCUAGAUCUAGAAGCCACCUGUCGACUUCCAGGGCAUCACUUUAACCCAACUGACCACAGAAGAUCCCACCCAGCCUCUGUGUGGUAAACAGCUCUGACCCGGUGAACAGAAAUGAAACCGGAUGAGAGAGGCCUGAGGAUAGGUGGGUCCUGAAAAGCCAAAUGGAAUCUGAGCCUAAUGAAUCAGCAUCUCAUUGGAUGGCACCAAGGAAUCUGAAUUUUCAACAAACUUCCCAAUAGAUUCUUAUGCACACUGAAGAACCAAUGACCCAGAGCACAGCCACACAGCAUCUAGGUAUGCUUCCUUAUCUCUCUCGGCAUUGAUGCUAAUCAGUCUGCAUUGCUCCCAUCUGGCCCUUGGGGCCUGGCUCAGCUUCACUGAGCACAGAGCUUUCUUGAACUCCCAAAUUCUUUUUAGAAUACCUGUGGUGUUCCUGCCGGAGAGAGAUUACUCAGUAAACCAUCUUGGUUAAUG